AUUGAACGCUGGCGGCAGGCCUAACACAUGCAAGUCGCACGAGUGGCGGACGGGUGAGUAAUGUCUGGGAAACUGCCAGAUGGAGGUGGAUAACUACUGGAAACGGUAGCUAAUACCGCAUACCAUCGGAUGUGCCCAGAUGGGAUUAGCUAGUAGGUGGGGUAACGGCUGACCUAGGCAACGAUCCCUAGCUGGUCUGAGAGGAUGACCAGCCAAACUGGAACUGAGACACGGUCCAGACUCCUACGGGAGGAAGCAGUGGGGAAUAUUGCAAAAUGGGCGCAAGCCUGAUGCAGCCAUGCCGCGUGUAUGAAGAAGGCCUUCGGGUUGUAAAGUACUUUCAGCGGGGAGGCGUUACCCGCAGAAGAAGCACCGGCUAACUCCGUGCCAGCAGCCGCGGUAAUUC
rnacentral:rRNA from 1 species